rnacentral:rRNA from 1 species
CCUUUGUACACACCGCCCGUCGCUACUACCGAUUGAAUGGCUCAGUGAGGCUUCCGGACUGGCCCAGAGGAGUCGGCAACGACACCUCAGGGCCGGAAAGUUAUCCAAACUCGGUCAUUUAGAGG